AGAGUUUGAUCCUGGCUCAGAUUGAACGCUGGCGGCAGGCCUAACACAUGCAAGUCGAGCGGUAGAGAGAAGCUUGCUUCUCUUGAGAGCGGCGGACGGGUGAGUAAUGCCUAGGAAUCUGCCUGGUAGUGGGGGAUAACGUUCGGAAACGGACGCUAAUACCGCAUACGUCCUACGGGAGAAAGCAGGGGACCUUCGGGCCUUGCGCUAUCAGAUGAGCCUAGGUCGGAUUAGCUAGUUGGUGGGGUAAUGGCUCACCAAGGCGACGAUCCGUAACUGGUCUGAGAGGAUGAUCAGUCACACUGGAACUGAGACACGGUCCAGACUCCUACGGGAGGCAGCAGUGGGGAAUAUUGGACAAUGGGCGAAAGCCUGAUCCAGCCAUGCCGCGUGUGUGAAGAAGGUCUUCGGAUUGUAAAGCACUUUAAGUUGGGAGGAAGGGCAGUAAAUUAAUACUUUGCUGUUUUGACGUUACCGACAGAAUAAGCACCGGCUAACUCUGUGCCAGCAGCCGCGGUAAUACAGAGGGUGCAAGCGUUAAUCGGAAUUACUGGGCGUAAAGCGCGCGUAGGUGGUUCGUUAAGUUGGAUGUGAAAUCCCCGGGCUCAACCUGGGAACUGCAUUCAAAACUGACGAGCUAGAGUAUGGUAGAGGGUGGUGGAAUUUCCUGUGUAGCGGUGAAAUGCGUAGAUAUAGGAAGGAACACCGAUGGCGAAGGCAGCCUCCUGGGAUAACACUGACGCUCAUGCACGAAAGCGUGGGGAGCAAACAGGAUUAGAUACCCUGGUAGUCCACGCCCUAAACGAUGUCAACUAGCUGUUGGGACCUUCGGGUCUUAGUGGCGCAGCUAACGCGUGAAGUUGACCGCCUGGGGAGUACGGUCGCAAGAUUAAAACUCAAAGGA
rnacentral:rRNA from 1 species